UUUAUUAAAAUAAAGGUGUCCUCUAAUUUUCCUUAAAUGCCUGUAUUUUAUUAAAAGACAAAAAUAAAAGACGCAAUUGGGAUAAACCGUAAUCGUACCCCUUCCUAACUGCCACAGUGUCAUGGCCGCCGUCGGGACCUAUUGUGCUGACAUUUACAAUGUUUACAUAUAGAAAAGUUUGUUUUUUUCUGCUUAUAAUGCCGUUUUCUAAAGAUAUUAGUGAACAAAAUCGAUUUGCUAACAAUAUUUAAUAUAUUUUAAAUGUGCUAAAAUUGGAUUCAACAGCAAAAGUCGCAUAAAUAACAUAUAAAUGACGAAUUUGUUUACCUAUUACAAAUGGGGUUAUGUGGUUGUAACUGUUUAUUUUGGGAAUAAAAUGAAAAUGAUCAAUUAAACGACUGGAAAACUAUAGUGAAGUGAAGAACAUCUUGAAGUUCCAAUGAUGUUUCAAGAUGAGAUAAAUCGAAAUAAUGGUUGUAUGUUAGAAGGACAGAGAAUACGAAGAAAUGUUAUUGCUGCAUACUUAGUGUAGUGAAAUACAAACUUCAAACAUUAUAAUAUAUUUUUUUAUUUCAAACAUUUCAUAUGAUUAUGAAAGAACAUCUUCCUCUUUAAAACAAUGAAGAAGUGAAGAACAUGAUAAAGUUCCAACGAAAAUGAUUCCAGAUGAGGAAAAUCGAAAUAAUGGUUGUAUGUUACGUGUAUAGAGAAUACGAAGAAAUGUUAUUGCUGCAAACUUAGUGUAGUGAAUUAAAAACUUAUUGUCAAAUACAAAUCAAUUUAUUUCAUACUUUUAUAAUAUAUAGUGGUACAAUUUUAUAUGUGUUCAAAUAAAAAUAUUAAUAAAUAAAAUACAAUAAACACAAA
rnacentral:lncRNA from 1 species